rnacentral:rRNA from 1 species
UACGUAGGGUGCAAGCGUUAAUCGGAAUUACUGGGCGUAAAGCGUGCGCAGGCGGCCUUGCAAGACAGAUGUGAAAUCCCCCGGGCUUAACCUGGGAACUGCAUUUGUGACUGCAUGGCUGGAGUGCGGCAGAGGGGGAUGGAAUUCCGCGUGUAGCAGUGAAAUGCGUAGAUAUGCGGAGGAACACCGAUGGCGAAGGCAAUCCCCUGGGCCUGCACUGACCGCUCAU